rnacentral:piRNA from 1 species
CAGAUGGCCUUUUUGUCUAA